rnacentral:tRNA from 1 species
AAGCAAGAAGCAACCGUUGCAGUCAGUUUCGACCUGACCUUAGAUAAUAUACUUAUCCUCGCUUU